rnacentral:rRNA from 1 species
GAUGAACGCUAGCUACAGGCUUAACACAUGCAAGUCGAGGGGUAACAAGAGGAAAGCUUGCUUUUCUUGUUGACGACCGGCGCACGGGUGAGUAACGCGUAUCCAACCUGCCUAUAACUAGGGAAUAACCUUGCGAAAGUAAGACUAAUACCCUAUGAUUUCCUUUGAUGGCAUCAGAUUAGGAAUAAAGAUUUAUCGGUUAUAGAUGGGGAUGCGUCUGAUUAGCUUGUUGGCGGGGUAAUGGCCCACCAAGGCAACGAUCAGUAGGGGUUCUGAGAGGAAGGUCCCCCACAUUGGAACUGAGACACGGUCCAAACUCCUACGGGAGGCAGCAGUGAGGAAUAUUGGUCAAUGGGCGGAAGCCUGAACCAGCCAAGUAGCGUGCAGGAUGACGGCCCUAUGGGUUGUAAACUGCUUUUAUACAGGAAUAAAGUUAGCCACGUGUGGUUAUUUGUAGGUACUGUAUGAAUAAGGACCGGCUAAUUCCGUGCCAGCCGCCGCAGUAAUAC